rnacentral:rRNA from 1 species
GACGGAGGAGGCUAGCAUUGUCCGGAAUUAUUGGGCGUAAAGAACACGUAGGCGGUUUGUCAAGUCAUUUGUGAAAACCUUAGGCUUAACUUAAGGAUUGCAGAUGAUACUGGUAAACUAGAGUACAGCAGAGGAAAGCGGAAUUCCUGGUGUAGCGGUGAAAUGCGCAGAUAUCAGGAAGAACACCAGUGGCGAAAGCGGCUUUCUGGACUGUUACUGACGCUGAGGUGUGAAAGCUAGGGGAGCGAACAGGAUUAGAUACCCUGGUAGUCCUAGCCGUAAACGAUGGACACUAGGUGUGGGGAGUUAUCGACGCUCUCUGUGCCGAAGCUAACGCAUUAAGUGUCCCGCCUGGGGAGUACGGUCGCAAGACUAAA